UGCGUAGGCGGGGCAAUUAGUCAGUGGUGAAAUCCUGCGGCUUAACCGUAGAACUGCGAUUGAUACUGUUGCCCUUGAGUAUAGUUGAGGUGGGCGGAAUGUGUAAUGUAGCGGUGAAAUGCAUAGAGAUUACACAGAACACCAAUUGCGAAGGCAGCUCACUAAGCUAUAACUGACGCUGAGGCACGAAAGCGUGGGGAGCGAACAGGAUUAGAUACCCUGGUAGUC
rnacentral:rRNA from 1 species